AACGAACGCUGGCGGCAGGCUUAACACAUGCAAGUCGAACGCCCCGCAAGGGGAGUGGCAGACGGGUGAGUAACGCGUGGGAAUCUACCGUAUCCUACGGAACAACAGUUGGAAACGACUGCUAAUACCGUAUACGCCCUACGGGGGAAAGAUUUAUCGGGGUAUGAUGAGCCCGCGUUGGAUUAGCUAGUUGGUGGGGUAAAGGCCUACCAAGGCGACGAUCCAUAGCUGGUCUGAGAGGAUGACCAGCCACAUUGGGACUGAGACACGGCCCAACCUCCUACGGGGGGAAGCGGGGGGGAUUAUGGGAAAAUGGGAGCAAGCCUGAUCCACCCAGGCGGGGUGAGUGAGGAAGGUCUUAGGAUUGAAAAGCUCUUUCACCGAUGAAAAUAAUGACGGUAGUGGGAGAAGAAGCCCCGGCUAACUUCGUGCCAGCAGCCGCAGUAA
rnacentral:rRNA from 1 species